AUGCAGGUCUGGACCUCCAGAGAAGUUUGUAUCGUGUCAAGUAAAAUCCACUCUUUUUCAGGAGAUCAGCAAAGGGUUUUCUCAUGCUCUGCUAUGUACAGAUGCCCAAGCCUCCUGUGGUGUUCUGCAUUCAUAGAUCUCAAUGUGCUCCUUGGAAAGAGAGCAAUUUCAAACCUGAGGGGAACAGCUUCUCCUUUAAACUUCACAGCUGGCUGUGCUAAGAAGCCCAUGUUCAAACCAAAAAUAAGCAUCUGCUUGAAGAGUGUAUAUGUGACUGGUAAGGAAAAAAAGGAAAGGAAAAUGAAGGUUAAAAGCUAAGCCAGUUUGAGACUCAAUGUGGGCAUUUGUUUGCGUACAUCUGACAGACUUUUUACAGACAGAUCUUCAAAAGAUAAACUCUUCCAGGGAAACUCUACCCUAAAUAUCAAUGUUUGCUUUCAAUUGUUUGUACUCAUUUACUGAGAAUAACAAAAAAUUUGGCCAUUUUAAGUAGCAACAGUAAAUUAUAUAUCAUAGAUUCAUAGAAUCAUCUAUGUUCACUGACACUUGAUUACUUUAUACUAAUUGGUUUAGUAAGUACCAAUUAUAUCCCUAAAUGGUUUUCUGAAUGUUAAUAUAUCAGCUACAUUCCUAAUUUUCCUACAUAUUUUGUAGUUAGAAAAUGAAGCAGCAAGAUUUCUCUUUCAUACCUAUUAGUCAUCAUUACAUUCUCUAGUAAAAUGUUAUUUCAAUGUAAUGAUAUUUGCAAACACAUUUAGUCUGUAGUUCUCAACAUUCAUGUUAAAUGUUAACCCAUUAUAUUACUUGAGGUGGAAUCAGUGUGGCACAAAACCAUGAAGGAUAGAAACCAUCAGAUAAAGUUAUGAACAGAAUGUGUUUUAUACAUUUUUCUGCAUAUAACUUUGGCUGACUAAUUAAUGGAAGUAUAAAAGCUUUAUAAUGACUUUAGCUAUUGAUACGGCCUAAUUAAACUCUGGUGCCAUUUAGUAACAUUGCAUAGUAGCAUCACAUUAGUGAUUCCUCAGAACAGAAGUGGUCCCACUGGUGUUAAUAUAAGCUGUUUGGUUGGCUUUGUGUGCUGAAGAUUUUUCUGCUGAAGAGUAAUAUUUUGCUGAAACUUAAAGCCUUGCAGGGAUAUGUGAAAUCCAAGGAAAAUUUAAGAAAUGUAAAAAAAAAAAUUGGUUUUUGAACUGACACUGGGAAAUUAAAUGGCAAUCUUCAUUUAGUUUUGCAUGGAGCUUUGCUCAAUUUUAUCCAAAAAUGAAGCAAACUAAAACCAAUAUUUAUAUCGAAAUGUUGACAUGAAAUGACAAUGAUUAACUCUGGACUUUUCAUGCCCAUCUUCUGUUUAACUUCAAGUACUAAAAUUCCCAAUGCCUUCCUUGAUUGUUUUGGAAAAAACUAUACAUGUUUAACAUCCACAAACAGAUGAAAAUGAACAACCUUUAGCUUAUGCAAAUACAUAUUAAAAUAUAUACAUAUAUAAAUAUAUAUAAGUAUAUGACAAUAACAUGUACAUAUUCUGCCCAUGAUGAGGUAGAUGAGGCUAGCUGUAAGAGAAUUUGCUUGCACUCCCAUAGGAGUCUAGCUGCAGUAGAAUUGAACUCUAUGUGAAUUAAUUUAUCCUGCUUUCAGGCUGCUUGGCAGCUUUUGGCACUUCUGCUCCUGUAUUUAUGGCUGGCCUGAGGAUGUACAUGCUGCAUGACAGUGUGCAGCACAGGCAUAUAUCCUUAUUCAGUGUUUAAGCAUGGGAGUAGCUGUUACUCUGAGUUGUCAGCUGGUUAUUUCUUAGAGAAACUGUCAUGGGGAUUGCAUGCUGUGCAAUUUACAUUACUAUUUAAAUACAGUGUGAUUUUUCUAGAUUAAAGGACCCUGUCAGGUAAAAUACACACCAUAUUUUGAAAUUUAUGUCUUCCCUCUAUUCUUAAUGUGUUUUGAAUUAAAAUUUUUGAAUUUGCAUUCCAUUUGAAUGACUCUCUCUGCUACCACACUUUGCUUUUGUGUUAAUCUCUGGUCCUUUGCUGGUAAAAAUGUGACUUCUCUUUGUUUUAAAUGACUGUGUUUUGAAUUUCAGUAUAAACACUUAACAUAAAAACUUAUGCUAAUUGUUUGACAGGAAGAAUGUAAAUUCACUUCCAAAUUUUCCCUUCAAAAAGUCCCAUCAUAUUAUUUUUUUCAAAGAAAAUCUGACAUUACAACUUAAUGCAACUGUAAAAUCUUUCAGUCUAUUUUUAUUGUUAGGUUGUUUUUUUUUUAUGGCGAGGAUACCUAGGCUGCCAAUCAGAACUGAGGCACCUAUUAUGCUAGAUGCGAGGACUUUCUUAGCUUGUUUCCAGCCCAUGAAGAAUGCAUGAAACAAGCAAGGUACUAAACAUCAGAUGCAUGCUUAAGGGAGUGAUCAUUCAGACAGACUACGUAUGCCCAUAAGUGAUAUCAAAUGGUGAAGAGAGGAAAGAGUAACCUUCCUUAUGCACACACACACUUUCAGAACAUGAUAUGAUAGUAAGAGUCAAGGGGUAUUUUAAGGUUCUGUUACCUGAGCUGGAGGUCUCAUAGAAUUUAUAUAUUUAAGACAUGGCGCCAUACAAAGGGAUCUAAAAGAGAGUUUAGCGUGCUGUUACAUCUCCUAGCACAGUGUAACUUGGUUCUAGAGAUGAUCCAGUCACAUCAGCAUUACACCAUGGCUAGAGUAAAGCUUUUAGAGUCAGCCUGGAUAAAUCUACAUGGAGCGGCAUUGCAGAGUAGACCUAAUGUAUGUUGCUGAUGUAUUUAGUAAAGAACUUAAGAAAAUAAUAAUGGGGGAAAUUCUAUGUUGUAUUUGCGACAGAAUGGAGAGUCUUCAAACUGCUUAAUACCCUUUUGUGUUGAAUAACUCCAAUAUUUGAAGCUGUAACCAAGUGGAAUCCAGUGGCAAGUAGGUACAAAGACACUCCCUCUCUCCAUUUUAAAGAAGCAAUGGGAUUUCUUGGGUCUGUGAUAACUUGUCAUAAUAUGUCUUACACUGCUUAGAAGUCCUCUUCUGAUUUUUCUUUGGCUUGUCUUUGAAGUUUCUAAAUCAGGCAUCAGUGGAGGAAUAAUCUCUUUUCCAUUGUUCCCAAAAGAUGGUGUAACUGAAAAUUAGGGAGAAAAAUUGAUAUCCUCAAAGGAAAAAAAAGGGCAACAAAAUCUAAAAUAAAAUGUACUGAAGCAGAUUUGAUAUAGUACAUGGUAAGCUUGAGCUAAAUGGACUACUGCCAAAACUGGCUAUUAAUUUCCUUAGGAAAAGGAGAGUCUGUUUUGAAUUCUAUGAUCAACCUGGCAAAAGUGUUACUUGUCAUUAUGUUAAAAAUGAUAACAAGCUUACUGGAAGACAACAGUGCAGCAAGUGG
rnacentral:lncRNA from 13 species